UGGCCGAUCUUUUUCUCUUUGACCCUAUUUCCCAAUUUUGACCAAGCCUCGCCGGCGACGGCGACGGCGACCCCUCGGCCAGCGCUCUGCCUGGUCCCCAAUUCGACCUCUCGAAGGAGACUGUGGUAUUAUCCUUUAUCCACUCCUUUUGAGGGUAUCCCCGCUGCUCCCGGCAACGCGCCACCGCGGGGCUUCCUCAUCCGCGGCCAGAAACGGCGAGCCCCGGCGGUCUUCUCCAAGUCUUCAGAAACCAUGACAGCUGUGUGGCUCCUGCAUCCUUCCGGUGGCUCGAUGUGCGCAACUCCUGCCCCACCUGCCAGUGCGCGGCACGGGAGGCGCCGGUAGGGAUUGGUGUCGGCGGCCAGGACUGGCGACGGCGACGAGGAGCUUUGGUGUGACACCGAGGGGGAUUUCGCAGUGGCAGUUUGUUCGAUCUCUGAGGGUUGCCAUUUGUUGGAGUUGAAUUCUCAGUCAAGAAAUCUCUUCCAUUAUAUGAUGUCUCUCAUGAUCAAUGAUUUAUACUAUUUCGAUUCCAAGUUUUCCUUGUGGUUUUCUGAAUGGAUUUAACAGCUUCCAUCAAUA